CCCAGUAGCUGGGACUAUAGGUUCAGAAGAUCAGCCCUGUCCUACGUGAUACUGGUGAGAGGCUCAUGAGCAGUUCCUGAGAUGAAAGAUUUGGAUUUAUGGCACCCAAUGUCUGCAGCCUGA